ensembl:lncRNA
UUGACACGUAUACCUCAGGAUAAGUAAAAAUUACUUGGGCAAAUAGGAGAGGAGAGGAAAAAGGAAACCUCUGAAGAGGCUCUGAGCUCACAAUUUCAUAAAGCUGGAGUGAGAAUUGUCUCUAGAAGAGUUGCUGAAGAUGAGGCUAGAGGACCUGAAAGAAAGAUGAUCAAAAUCCUUACGUGCUUGAGUUUGAAGUUCAUUCUGAAAAAAUGCUGUUAGAACACAGUCAUUUAACAAAGGAUGAGGAAUACACAAGCCCAGUUCUUACCAGAGAAGUAGGAAGAGCCCAGUGUUUCUCCUUGAAGAGGGAGCAGGUAACCCCUAGUUUAUAAUGGGGCACGUGGAGGGAUGGGCAAACCCAGUGCAUGUAAACAUGCUCCUCACCCCAAUUCCUGUCUCGGGGAAGUUUCUUAGGAAAUGGGGACCGCUUGAGUCUCAGCGAUAACAACAGCUACAGAAAUAAUGCAGUAUCCCAGAAAUAGCGUCUUUCAGAGCCACGUCUGAGACAAACACCUAUCUUGGUGAUGCCAAGGUGAUAAGCAACAACUUUUGGUGCUCAGGUAAAAGAGGAGGAAUACCAUCAGUAAUCUCCUAUAGGUGACUCCCCCCACCCCCGACAUCCUCCUUUGUAGCUGAAGAUAGUAUUUAAGAUGAGAACCUCCACCAUUUUGAGUUUCUGGCUUGCUUCAUUUCAGGACUUAUCGUAUUUGUGGGGUGCUGUAGAACACAUUGACCGCAUCACAUCAUGGAUUAUUCUCCACUGAAAGUCUGCAGAUCCCCUAAUUCCAAAAGGCAAUGGCAAUAAGAUUCCUAGGGCUUUGAAAAAGAGAGUACAUCCCCAGGCCAGGAACCAAGAGAGAAGCUAAGUCAUUCUUAUUUAGGGUCAGCCACAAGGAAGAUUCCUGAGAUAUUUAGAGGGUAAAAGAAGAGCAGCGGCCAUUUUGUAGUUGAUACUCAGUUACCAACGUGCUGACUCACUUCAUGGGCUUGAAGCAAGAGCUGGGUCUGCAAUUUCUCUACCCUCUCUUGGAUUCCUCCUUCAGUUUCUCUGACUCGUAGGUCAGAAUCGCUUGACAAGCAGUAUGUCAGUGCCCACCUGGGAUCUGAACCUGUGAACCCCAGGCCACUGAAGUGGAGAAUGUGAAAUUAACCACCAUGCCACAGGGCCAGCCCCUGAAAUAGUUAUUUAUAAAGGUCCUGAAGAUUAGAACAUGGAUUCCUGGUAACCAUACCUAAAAAUUCUGCCUACUACUGACGGAAAGAACAUAUUAUUCACUGGGUGCGCUUCUCAGAACCUAGCAGAGCUUCUGAUAUAAAAGAUAAUUGAUGCUUGAGUUAAUUUUUAAGUUGAACUGACUUCAGUUUCAAUUAUUACCAUGUUUUUAAAUUAUCUGUUUUAGUUGCAUGCAUAGUGAAAAAAAUACUUUAAAUAGCGAAUAAGGAAAUAAAAUAGCAAUACAGAAGUAACUGCAAUCCUUUCAUGAUGAACACUGAUCCAUAGGAAAAGAGACUAAAAAAGGAAGAAAAAAUGCCACAAAAUAGAAAGAAAGAAAACCUCUUGAAAAAGGAAAGUGGAGUUUUGCAUAUUUUACAGCUGAGUCUAUCAAAUUUCAAGCUCAAUAAGUAAAUGAUAGUUCUAAGUUAGAAAAGUUGCCUUACUAUUAAAAUGCUUUGAUUAUGUUAAUGACAACAGGUUUUCUAAACCUAAAUCUGCUUAAACUUCAAACAGAAAUCUGGUUUGGAGCUGUAGAAAAGCAAUGCUUGCUAGGGUGCCCUAAAGUGUGCUGUGAUGAAUUAGCGUUUUUGAUUUGGAGGUGAGGCUAUUUUCAUACAUGUAUUUGCGCAUUUGUUUAUGUAAAUCAUCACAGUGUUUUCAGGGUUGCUGUCUCCCUGUAUAUAUGCCAAGACUCUAAUACUUUUUGGCGAUUAUGGCCUCCUUCCCUUCUGCUGAUUGCAGCCUGAGCUUCAUUUUGUGCUAAGGCAUAUAAAGUGAUGACAAAGGUGGACAAUUGUUUCUGGCUGCAGCUCACCCAAAUAAAACUGUUUCAAUUGAUUCAGAGCACUUAUGUCAGCCAAGACCCUAUACUUCUUGACACUGCAUUUUUCCCAGUGAAUAAUAAAUCACUGUGUUUCCAACAACAGCCUCUCUCCCUCUGCCUUUCUCUCUUCUUCCACCAUUAGUCAUGCUGGUCUAGCUCACCACCUGUCACUUGGCAUGCUUCUGCAAAUACUGUUACCCAUGUAGAAAUGGAUUUGGUUUCACUGAAGUUGGGAACACACCUGUGCUUACUUGGGUCUGCAACCCACCAGCUGUAAUCCCUUUAAAGGUAUUUUUUGGCUGUUCCUAUGUAUUCCAUCUGCUCUUUCUUGGCGUGGAUUUUUCAAACAUUUCUAUCAUUAGAAUUCUGAAUUUCAGGUAAUAUAAAUAUGCCUCACAACAAAAUGCAUAAGUAGAUAAAUACAUGGUGGGUAAUCUCGAAAGGAAGAUUAAUGUUAAGUCAUUAACUUGUGUAUGAUUCAUAUACCUAAGCUCCUUUAAUUCUCCCAACAAAUCUAAUGAGGGAAAAUUAUGCAUUAUCCUCAUCAAAUAGGUGAGAUAGUUAGACUUAGGAGAAGCAACUUACCUAGAUCGUUCACCAACUAAGUGAAAGAUCCUGGACUCCAAAUAAGGAGUCUCUGAUUGCAAAGCCCCUGUAAUUGUCCCUUUAGAAGUCACAUUUUCUGCUUAACCAUGCUGCUUUCUUUUAUCCAUUCAUCCAACAUUCAAAGGAUCCCUACUAUGACCCAGACACUGUGCUGUUGGCAAAAUAUUUGUAGCGGCAAGCACACAGUCCUGUCCCACAGAUGCUGGUAGACCAGCAGAAUGAAUGCUCAUGUAAGUGAAUAAUUAUAAUGCAGAUUUUUAAAGGUGCUGCAAGGAAAGUAGGUCUCAAGGUAGAUCUAUCUAGAGUUGCUCUUUGAAUGUAGUAGUCACUACCUGUGUGUGGUUAUUUAAAUAAAUAAAAUUAUUCUAUAAGUAAAAUUAAGAAUUCAGUGUCUCAGUUGCACCAAUCAAACUUCAAGCCUCA